UACGUAGGGGGCAAGCGUUAUCCGGAUUUAUUGGGCGUAAAGAGCUCGUAGGCGGCCGUUCGCGUCGGAUGUGAAAGCUCAGGGCUCAACUCUGAGAUGCCAUUCGAUACGGGACGGCUAGAGGUAGGUAGGGGAGAGUGGAAUUCCUGGUGUAGCGGUGAAAUGCGCAGAUAUCAGGAGGAACACCGGUGGCGAAGGCGGCUCUCUGGGACGGUACUGACGCUGAGACGCGAAAGCGUGGGGAGCGAACAGG
rnacentral:rRNA from 1 species